rnacentral:rRNA from 1 species
GACGAACGCUGGCGGCGUGCUUAACACAUGCAAGUCGAACGACGAAGCCGGAGCUUGCUCCGGUGGAUUAGUGGCGAACGGGUGAGUAACACGUGAGCAAUCUGCCCUCGACUCUGGGAUAACUGCGGGAAACUGUAGCUAAUACCGGAUACGACACCUUGGGGCAUCCCAGGGUGUGGAAAGAAUUUCGGUCAAGGAUGAGCUCGCGGCCUAUCAGCUAGUUGGUGAGGUAAUGGCUCACCAAGGCGACGACGGGUAGCCGGCCUGAGAGGGUGACCGGCCACACUGGAACUGAGACACGGUCCAGACUCCUACGGGAGGCAGCAGUGGGGAAUAUUGCACAAUGGGCGAAAGCCUGAUGCAGCAACGCCGCGUGAGGGAUGAAGGCCUUCGGGUUGUAAACCUCUUUUAGCAGGGAAGAAGCGAAAGUGACGGUACCUGCAGAAAAAGCACCGGCUAACUACGUGCCAGCAGCCGCCGUAA